CGUAACAAGGUCUCCGUUGGUGAACCAGCGGAGGGAUCAUUACAGAGUUGCAAAACUCCCACAAACCAUCGCGAAUCUUACCCGUACGGUUGCCUCGGCGCUGGCGGUCCGGAAGGCCCUCGGGCCCCCGGAUCCUCGGGUCUCCCGCUCGCGGGAGGCUGCCCGCCGGAGUGCCGAAACCAAACUCUUGAUAUUUUAUGUCUCUCUGAGUAAACUUUUAAAUAAGUCAAAACUUUCAACAACGGAUCUCUUGGUUCUGGCAUCGAUGAAGAACGCAGCGAAAUGCGAUAAGUAAUGUGAAUUGCAGAAUUCAGUGAAUCAUCGAAUCUUUGAACGCACAUUGCGCCCGCCAGUAUUCUGGCGGGCAUGCCUGUCCGAGCGUCAUUUCAACCAUCAAGCUCUGCUUGCGUUGGGGAUCCGCGGCUGCCCGCGGUCCCUCAAAAACAGUGGCGGGCUCGCUAGUCACACCGAGCGUAGUAACUCUACAUCGCUAUGGUCGUGCGGCGGGUUCUUGCCGUAAAACCCCCCAACUUCUAAGGUUGACCUCGGAUCAGGUAGGAAUACCCGCUGAACUUAAGCAUAUCAAUA
rnacentral:rRNA from 1 species